rnacentral:rRNA from 1 species
GUAAGGUCCGAGCGUUGUCCGGAAUCAUUGGGCGUAAAGGGUACGUAGGCGGGUAAGCAAGUUAGAAGUGAAAUCCUAUAGCUCAACUAUAGUAAGCUUUUAAAACUGCUCAUCUUGAGGUAUGGAAGGGAAAGUGGAAUUCCUAGUGUAGCGGUGAAAUGCGCAGAUAUUAGGAGGAAUACCGGUGGCGAAGGCGACUUUCUGGCCAUAACCUGACGCUGAGGUACGAAAGCGUGGGUAGCAAACAGGAUUAGAUACCCUGGUAGUCCACGCCGUAAACGAUGAGUGUUAGGUGUCUGGAGUAAAUCUGGGUGCCGCAGCUAACGCAUUAAACACUCCGCCUGGGGAGUACGCGUGCAAGCGUGAA